CAGUUGAAGUUUCUCAUCUACAGUGUAGGUGUCAGUAUCCUACCUCCUUCCUGCCUCCUAUGCUGCCUACUGAGAAGAAGCUGGUGAUCCUGCAGUGGGAAGGAACAUUGAUGGUCAGUAGCUGAACCAAAAGAAGGAAUAUUGAUGCUUCAAGUCUAAGGUCUCACCCGCUUGAAGUCCUCAAUGUCUGACCAUGAAACACCACUAGAGGGAGAAGCUUGAAUCCAUCCUUAACAGGCACAAAGGGAUGAAUGCUAUGCUUUCAAGGUAUCUUCUUAGAAUGGAUAGAUGUAGCAGGUGUUGAGAUUAUAUGAAUGGAGAAAACUGGAAAGGUAUGUGUUAUCAUGAAGCUUAUAUUCUAGUGGCUGAAGACAAGCAAUGAAAGCAUCAGCAGAGUAGUUUAAAUGGAAAUAAGAAGUACUGGCCUUUUAAUAAUUGUGACUUCUAGCACACACCAGCAAGGAACUCUGUCACCAUCCAAAGCCUGGAUUUCACAACUGCAUUCAUGCGAAGUAAGCUUAGUAGAUGAAGUGCUGAUCUCUGAUCUCUGGCUCUUUUCCUUUGAAGGAGGCCUCAUGUUACCAGAUAAUCUAGACUGGUGACCAGGUCAACAGGAAACUCAUAAGACACUCACUUAUGUGGCUUAAUGAGCUGUUCGUGCUAAGGAUUACAGCAAAAGAGAACAACUGACAAAGAUGGUGGGGAUUGAAAUGCAUAACAAGAACUCACUAGAUGCUGAGAAUUUCAGGAUGGAAUAGCUAAAUGGAGGCAUCAUAACACUUCAA
rnacentral:lncRNA from 1 species